rnacentral:rRNA from 1 species
GACGAACGCUGGCGGCGUGCCUAAUACAUGCAAGUAGAACGCUGAAGAGAGGAGCUUGCUCUUCUUGGAUGAGUUGCGAACGGGUGAGUAACGCGUAGGUAACCUGCCUUGUAGCGGGGGAUAACUAUUGGAAACGAUAGCUAAUACCGCAUAACAAUGAAUGACACAUGUCAUUUAUUUGAAAGGGGCAAUUGCUCCACUACAAGAUGGACCUGCGUUGUAUUAGCUAGUAGGUGAGGUAACGGCUCACCUAGGCGACGAUACAUAGCCGACCUGAGAGGGUGAUCGGCCACACUGGGACUGAGACACGGCCCAGACUCCUACGGGAGGCAGCAGUAGGGAAUCUUCGGCAAUGGGGGCAACCCUGACCGAGCAACGCCGCGUGAGUGAAGAAGGUUUUCGGAUCGUAAAGCUCUGUUGUAAGUCAAGAACGAGUGUGAGAGUGGAAAGUUCACACUGUGACGGUAGCUUACCAGAAAGGGACGGCUAACUACGUGCCAGCAGCCGCGGUAAUACGUAGGUCCCGAGCGUUGUCCGGAUUUAUUGGGCGUAAAGCGAGCGCAGGCGGUUUGAUAAGUCUGAAGUUAAAGGCUGUGGCUCAACCAUAGUUCGCUUUGGAAACUGUCAGACUUGAGUGCAGAAGGGGAGAGUGGAAUUCCAUGUGUAGCGGUGAAAUGCGUAGAUAUAUGGAGGAACACCGGUGGCGAAAGCGGCUCUCUGGUCUGUAACUGACGCUGAGGCUCGAAAGCGUGGGGAGCGAACAGG